GAUGAAGAACGCAGCGAAAUGCGAUAAGUAAUGUGAAUUGCAGAAUUCAGUGAAUCAUCGAAUCUUUGAACGCACCUUGCGCUCCUUGGUAUUCCGAGGAGCAUGCCUGUUUGAGUGUCAUGAAAUUCUCAACCUUUUCAGCUUUCUUUGUUGAUCAGGCUUGGAUGUGGGAGUAUGCGGGCUUCUCAGAAGUCGGCUCUCCUGAAAUGCAUUAGCGGGACCUUUGUUGCCUGGCUUUGGUGUAAUAAUUAUCUACGCCAUUGUAGUCAAGCAGCUUAAAAUGAGGUUUCAGCUUCUAACCGUCUCCCCUGAGACAACUUUUUGACAAUUUGACCUCAAAUCAGGUAGGACUACCCGCUGAACUUAAGCAUAUCAAUAAGCGGAGGA
rnacentral:misc_RNA from 1 species